rnacentral:misc_RNA from 1 species
AACGCACCUUGCGCUCCUUGGUAUUCCGAGGAGCAUGCCUGUUUGAGUGUCAUUAAAUUCUCAACCUCACCAGUUUUGUUAUGAGACUGUGUAAGGCUUGGAUGUGGGGGUUUUUGCAGGCUGCCUCUGUGCGGUCUGCUCCCCUGAAAUGCAUUAGCGAGUUCACUAAGCUCCGUCUAUUGGUGUGAUAAUUAUCUACGCCGUGGAAUGGGUUUAGACUUGCUUCUAACCGUCUGCAAAGACAACUUUUGACAAUUUGACCUCAAAUCAGGUAGGACUACCCGCUGAACUUAA